CUUUCACAUGCAUAAAAUUUAUCUAGAAAUAACUAAAAAGACGGACAGAUUCCUGGGCUAUAAUUCCAGAGAUUUUAGUUGAGUUAUUCUGGAAUGGGAAGGAAAAACUACAUUUUAAAAUAAUUAAUUUUACUGACGUUUCCAUUGGUUGCAGGUGAGCCAUGCUUUUUCAGAAACACUUUCUAACCUUCACUUGGAAAUCCUUCAAACUGCUGGUCACCAAAACCACCAUCUCUCUGCACACCACCCUUGGUGCUCCUGCCUGUUGGGUUUUCCAUCAAGCUGAAACAGCUCACCUGACAGGAGCCAAAUUCACAGGAAUAUGCAUCUAUCUGGCUCAACAUAGGUCAUGUGCUUACUUCCUGGUUUAUGAGAGCAGUGAGAGAAAGCCUCUGUGGUCCUGACAAGAAAAGAAUUCUGGGAAAUGGGGCAACUCCAAGGAAAGAGACCAGUAAAACUGAGAAACCAAACAUCAAUGUGGAAAUAACUCUGAAAUGUGUAUGUAAGUGUGUAUGUGUAUAUGCAUGCAUGUAUCUCUAAAGUAAUUAUAUGUCCUAUAAAUGUUUUUUUAAAUUUAAUACUAAAAUUAAAUCACAUGUGCUUAUAGUAUUUGUUCCUCUUUAUGAAAUUUUUACUUUUAUUGUUUACCUAUUAACAUUCAGUGUUUUUUUGUCAAUUUCAAUUCGCUCUUAAAUGUAAGUCAUUAAAUCUUUGAGUAACCAAAAAGAACCUAAUCAUAUGCAAAUACUCUUUUGAAAGGCAAUGCCUAUGAUGAUGAUGAUUAUUAUUGUUAUUAAUUUUAUUUUGCUUUUGGAGGGGAAGCAAGAGCUAGAGGGACUGUAGGAAGCCACGGUUCUAAAUGUGACCAGUACAACCUAAAAUGAGGGUUCAUGUGGUAAGAUGCAUCAUUCAUAGAAACAGCAAUAGUCUGACAGAAAAAUAUCAUGGAAAGUCAUUAAAAUCCUUACUCAUUGUCUCAAGAAAUACCACAGUUGUGGUGAGUGGGACUUGGGUAGUUAUAGCAAAUUCUUAAUAUGUAGCAAACAUUUCAAAAGUUAUAUUGUUUCAUAUCUAACAUUUUCCAUUUCUCCAAACUAUAGAUAUAGCUAUUGUGUGCUUUUCUUUAAACUAUCACAAUUACAAUAUUGCAAAAAUAAAUAAAUAAUAAAUAAACUUCUCGC
rnacentral:lncRNA from 1 species